AUGUGUCCGUCACACCGCAAUAUAAUUUUGGCGAGGAUCUUAACGUCAGUUAUUAUGAUUUACGGUAAAAUAUUUGGUCUCCUCCACAAGCGACAACUCCUAGUCAAGAAAAUCCUCCAACAUCAUAUGCAACACAACAAAAUCCUCCAACAGAGACCGAACAAUAUGGUUUUGGUCAUCGUGCUCCGCGACUGCGUUAUUAUUUUAUCGGUACUCGUUUCGGACCGGGUCAGCAUUAAAUAG